ensembl:lncRNA
GCUGCUCCCUCAGAAAUAGGAUUUCAUCUGCUGAGGGGAUUGGGGUAGAUCUUCCAGGUGUGGGCUAGAUCUGUCGUCCAUGGUCCAUGCUUCUGGUUUAUAAAAAACACCAGUGGUUGGGGAUUCUCACAUGGUGUGGGUGGAGAUAUAAACCCAGGCUACAUCUGUAAGAGGGCUACUUCAGAGUGUCUACCAACAUGGAAAAUGCACAAAUCAGUUGGUUAUAACUGCAAGAAAUGCAAAUAUCUGAUGUCUCCAUGUCCUUGAAGAUUGGAUGAUUUGCAUUAUGAGAAGCAAGGCUUAACCUCAGAGGCCAGCAUCAUCCCUGGAGUGAUGGAAGCAAGCCUGCGGCUCAUUCUCCUUUGCCUGCACCCAAAAGCAUUUAAGGAUUUGUUUCCAGGAAGCUGCUGAAAAUAUGGAAACUUGACAUCACCAGCAAACUUGCUGAGAUGUAAGAGCUGGGCUUCCCAGAACACUCCCUCAGCACCUCUAUCUCUGUCCAUAUCCCAAGUCUUGGCAGACUAAAAGAAGAAAGUCACUACUUGAAAAUUUGGACUCUUCCAUACAGGUGGAGCUCAAAGCACCAUAGGACAUUCACCCAUCAUCUGAGACUCCUCAUGUCUAACGCUGUAGCUUUGGAGGAUGAAGUUUUCCAAGGUAUCACCAUUCCUAUCACCUAACAUCCGAGGACUUGUGGCUGUUAAUGUUGACAUGAAUCACCUAGCCACUGGAGUGUUUGCUGGGUUGGUCCGGCCUUCUAUGACUGCUCCUGUCCCUCUGUGCUCUACUGUUAGUGGGAAAUUGACAGGCAGACCACAGCUGAAGGAGUGUGAGUUACACUCCCCAUCCUGGAGGCAGAACAUCUGCAUAGACUGUAUGGAAUCCUUCUGUAUGGAAAUUCACCUCUUACCACUUAGUUAUGUGUUCCAAUCAGAGCAUAUUUGUAGGUAUUCAUUUUAUACUUUAGGUGUGUUUAUUUUGUUACUCAGAUUGUCACAACCUUGGCCUUUAGGAGGCCUUUCAAUUGACUUCUGUGAUGUAGCAUUACUUUUUUUGAGGAUCGUUUAUUUCUUUGUUAGUUUUUUCAGACUUUCUGACCUUGUGAGAUCCUCCACGCUUGUCUUUCAUACUGCCCUUCUCAGUUGGAUCUGCGUGUUGUUUCUGGGAUCUCUAAUUGUCUUUACUAGACAUGGUUUUUAGAAACUGCUAUCUGGACACUAAAUGUGCUCAUUGCUAAUGGGCAGUUAUUCGGGGGAACUUCUUGGCUGACAGCAAAGAAUGCAUGUGUGCAUACUAACCUGUGUGCUUGUACUGUGCAUACUAACCUAUGAAUCUUCUAAGUUGAAUGCAUGAAAGUUCACUAUUUGUGAUGUAAACACUAUGGGUUUUGACAAAUGCCAAGUACCAUUUAUUUACCGUUAGAGUAUUAUAUAAAAUAGUUUUCCUGGUCUGACCCCUGCCCUCCCCACACACACAUUUCUCAUUGCACCUAUACACCACACUCCAUUUCCUUGGGCUCCUGGUAAUCAUUGAUUUUUUUUUCUCCCACUGUCUCUAAAGUUUUGUUUCUUACCAAAAAAGUCACAUAAUUGGAAACCAACAAUGUUCAGCCUUUUCCAACUGAUUUUUACUCAUUUACAAUGAGCAUUUAAUCUUCAUGCUUUGGUAGCUCUUUUAUUGUUUAGUAAGGUUCUGUUUAAUGGGUACAGAACAGUUUGUUUUUUCAUUCACUUAUUGAGGGAUGUCCGUGUAGUGUCCAGAUUUGGGGUGAUGUUAAUGGGGAGAGAGUGUUGAAACUUUUGCACCACUGUGACCAGCUAGGAAAAAAUGUUUUUCUCAAUGAUGCUACCACUGAACUUUUCAAAUACUUGCUGGUAUGAUGAGAUACCUACAUGUGUAUGAGAUAUGUGUAUUGUUCAAAGAAUGGAAUGAAUACCUUGAGCUAGCCCAAGAUGUUUUCCCUCAAAGCCCCUAGUGAGGCCUCCCUGACAGCCCUUCUCUGUUUCCCACGCCUUGCACCUAUGGCCUUUCGGAAUACAGAGGAGCCCGAUGCACUUCAUGAUGGGUCCGACAGAGGCUACCUGGCUCUCCAAGAUGAUCAUCCAGUGGCUGGGAUGGCAUUCAGUUCUGCUGAUUCCUGAUUCAAUGGGCUACUCACUGAUAAUAAAAUGUUAUUUUAUCUUUUCAAAGCAAAAAAAAAUUUGAGAUUCAUUUUGAACAAGGGCCAUCUUCCCAGUCAAAAUAAAUACCUGUCAACAUUAUCUUUGUACCAGAUAAUUUUAUGACCACUUGACACAAGUCAGAAUCAUUUGGGAAAAGGGAACCCUAUUUGAGUAAAUGCCCCCAUCAGAUUGGCCUUUGGUGCAUUUUCUUUAUUGACUAUUGAUGUGGGAGAGCCCUGGUCCUUGUGGGUGGUUUCAUCCCUGAACUGGUGGUCCUGGGUGCUAUACGAAAGCAAGAUAAGAGAUCCAUGAGGACCAAGCCAGUAAACAGCUCUCCUUCAUGGCCUCUGCAUCAGUUAUGGCUCCAGUUCCUUUCUUGAGCUCCUGUCCUGACUUCCCUAGGUGAUGAAGUACAAGCUGUAAAAUGAAAUAAACCCUUUCCUCCCU